GCCCCUGUUCUGAGACUGAACUUGGCACAAAGGCAAGAGAGUUGUGUGUGUAUGUGCAUGCACAGAUGCCACGGAGUCCAGAGAAUGUACCAGAUGUCCUGGAGCCAGAGCUACAGGAGGUUAUGAACCCUAAGAGGUGAACACAGUCUUUGUCUCUGAGAUGCUUGCUGUUCGUGUCCUUGCAGAUUCUGGAAGAUGACUGACAUUGGAGACACAUUAACAAACGGCUUUCACCAUUGUCUCGGACUCUGACCCUCUGAAACCCUAUUCUGAAGAUUCUAGCACAGCUCUGGCAAACGGUGAAGACCGAGAAGGCACUGGAGGGCACCAGCCCAGGGACA